rnacentral:tRNA from 2 species
NNCGGGGUGGAGCAGCUCGGUAGCUCGCUGGGCUCAUAACCCAGAGGUCGCAGGUUCAAAUCCUGUCCCCGCUAC